ensembl:lncRNA
GGGAAGAAUGCUGACUAGAGACUUUUUGUCCCUAGCAGAAGCAACAGCCCUGAGCAUAUCCAUGGCAGAAGUUCAAAUGACUCUUUGGAAAUGCCCCAGACAACAAAAGUUUUUAAUCCUGAACAUCAUAAGCCACAUGAAACGGUAAAACUCACAUUUCAUCCUCUUGGAGUUUCACAUGAAGUAAUAAUCCCUACAGCGUUCACAUGACUGCCUUUCUGAACCAGCAGUGCCUCCUACAAACCUCUGUCAGUGUAUACCUUGUCUCUUCCCUCUCCCUUCAUCUCUCACCUCCUGCUUUUUUCUCCGUAUUACAGCCACUUCUCUGGCUUCUUAGCUCCUUCCCUUUACCUAAAACCUCUAGUCUCUUUUCAACUCAGGAAGAUUGAAGAGUUGUGCCAUUUUGUGCUGCUCCGCAAUUGACAUUCUUUGAGAUGUCAACACUUUUCUAUCAUUGAGCAUGGAGUGCUGAACAGUUGAAAUCUGUGAUUCUCCUUGCUAUUCUCCAUGAAGUACAGUCUGAGAGUAAUAGGAGAGCAUCACAGAAAGGCCCGGUAGCUCCUUUCUUGAGAAGCCAGCACUGGCCUGAAUGACUGAAGAAGGAUCUACGGCAUGCAUUUCAAUAGGCAGCUUUGGGCACUUUGCAUGGGUACUCCAACAAACUACAAAACUCCCACCAGAGUCCUUAAGUAAAAAAAAGAUUUCCAGGUCACAACUUACAUGUUAUCAGCUUCCUGCUCAGAAACCCAGGGCUAUGACCUGUGUCAGACUCACGCCAAAAUAUCCAGAACUGCACAAGAAAAAUGAGGAUAUCAGACUCCAUCUCAGAACUCAGCUUAACGGAGACUCAGCUCACACUUCCAAACUAUUGAGGAGACACGUUCUGGGUGCUGCAGGACUCAAAUUUCAUGUCUCACUGUCUGAGAAGCUUAAGAAUAAUUAAAAUAGGUUUUCACACAUCGUUGCUCUUGCAGAAUGGAUGCUGCUUCAAAAUGCCGUGAGGGCAUUUCAGAAAUGGAUGGCUGAUUCCAGUACGGUGCAGCCCAACGUACUUUGGUACAGUUUGUGCUGAAAUAGAUGAAGUAACAAUACAGUAAACUGAUUUAAGUCAAUAACUCCUUAAAUGUACUCAUGAAAAACAGUCAAAUAUUUUUAUGCACCAAGAACUAGAAAAUUAGAACCAAUUUUAAAAUUCUACUUCAUUAUAACUUGAAUACAAAGAGGCUACAUAUAUCCAAAGAUGUGAAUAUCAUGAUGUGUGGUGAAAAAAUAAUCAUGUCAAGCAAGGAUCAUAUCUGAUUUUUAUGACAAAAGUAAAUAUAAUUUCUAAAACAAGUUUUUUCUGCUGGUUAUCUAACAGAAAAAGGACCAAAAAAAAAAAAAAAAACCCCACUCAGAUUAAAAAUAUUUCAUCUGCUCACAAAAUGAACAUUGGAAAAGCUGUGCAGAAGGGCAUCAUAUUAAAUUUCAACAGAAAGCAGGACAGGGAAUGCAUUUUACCGGACAAUUGGACAGCAAUUGGUCCCAGUAUGGCAAGACUGUAAGCACAAGUAUUUGUUAGAGUUGAUCUGAGCCUUACUUAGGUAGAAUUACAUAUGCUCCAACAAUAAGGUUUGAAACCACAUCCUUUAAGUUUAUCCUUACUCUGUACUGCAUCAAAGAAUCCAAGUUUCAUUAAAUAUGUGUUUAAAUGUGUUGUACUGUAGAACUCCAUUAUUGAAAGGGUGAGGCCUGAAGGAUAAACAGUAGGAUUUGAACAAAGCAGCUCAGAAUGAGGAAUUUUUCUUUUUUUUCCCCCAAAGCCUGCAAAAGCCAGUCUGAGGCACCUCCUUAUCUGUAUGGCUCAAUAAUGAGAUAUGCUGAACUUCUACAGCUCUCACCGACUCAGAAUCAGAUGCACAUCCUAUAAUAGACCAAUUAUGUCAGAUUUACUUUCUGUAAGCAACUGGGGAAAAAUGCCAACUUUUACAAAGCAAAUCGAAGCCCUGGAGCAUGUCCAGAAAGGGGUAAUGAAGGUGUGAGGAGUCUGAAGCACAAGACUUAUGGGGAGCAGCUGAUCAAACUGGGAUUGUUCAAUCUAGAAAAGGGGAGGUUCAGGGAGACCUUAUUACUCUCUACAGUGACCUGAAAGAAGGUUUUGGCAAUGUGAAGGUCAGCCUCUUCUCCCAGGAUGAGAGGUAAUGGCCUGAAGUUGAACCUCAGGGGAGGUUCAGGUUGAAUAUUAAGAAAAACGGUGAUGUGCAGGAAUGGGCUGCCCAGGGAGGUGAGAGUCAUCAUCCCUGGAGGUGUUCAAGAAAUGUUUAGAUGUGGUAGUACCAUGGUUUAGUGGGAAAAUAUUGGUGGUAGAUGGGCUGUCGGAUUAGAUGAUCUUGGAGGUCUUUUCCAAUAUCGGUGAUUCUACGAUUCUAUUUCAGCAGGGAAUACUUGAGUGACCUUGGCCACCAAAGGAAUAUGAAUAUUAAGGAUGUCGACUAUUAUUCAAGAUGAAAUUUCACAUCAAAUUAAUGUCAAAAUAUAAUGCCAAAAAAGCCAAAUAGUCAAGCAGCAUUUCAUUAAUUUUCCUGUUUGGGGAAAGUUCAGUAGCUGUUUUCAGAUGACCCAAGAGUAUUCAAUUUGCUCUGCUGUCUUGAAUAACAAGUACCUUUUUUUUUUUUUUCUCUAUUUCUUUUUUCUUUCUUUUAUUUAUUUUUUAUUUUUUUAUUUUUUUGUUUCCCUCCAGCUGGGAUAAUAGCUUUAAGGUCUAUAAACCACACAUGCUAUGAAGAUGCAAUGUCCAAAUUCUGCAUCAGCACUUCUCAGCUCUUAGCAACAGAUGAAGCAACAUUAAUAAACUUGGUCUCAUCUGAAUUAAAGCA